rnacentral:rRNA from 1 species
CCAGACUCCUACGGGAGGCAGCAGUGGGGAAUAUUGCACAAUGGGGGAAACCCUGAUGCAGCGACGCCGCGUGAGUGAAGAAGUAAUUCGUUAUGUAAAGCUCUAUCAGCAGGGAAGAAAAUGACGGUACCUGAGUAAGAAGCCCCGGCUAACUACGUGCCAGCAGCCGCGGUAAUACGUAGGGGACAAGCGUUAUCCGGAUUUACUGGGUGUAAAGGGAGCGUAGACGGUCCUGCAAGCCAGAUGUGAAAGCCCGGGGCUCAACCCCGGGACUGCAUUUGGAACUGUAAGGCUAGAGUGUCGGAGAGGCAGGCGGAAUUCCUAGUGUAGCGGUGAAAUGCGUAGAUAUUAGGAAGAACACCAGUGGCGAAGGCGGCCUGCUGGACGACAACUGACGGUGAGGCGCGAAAGCGUGGGGAGCAAACAGGAUUAGAUACCCGCGUAC